rnacentral:rRNA from 1 species
UACGAAGGGGAGCUAGCGUUGUUCGGAAUUACUGGGCGUAAAGCGCACGUAGGCGGAUAUUUAAGUCAGGGGUGAAAUCCCAGAGCUCAACUCUGGAACUGCCUUUGAUACUGGGUAUCUUGAGUAUGGAAGAGGUAAGUGGAAUUGCGAGUGUAGAGGUGAAAUUCGUAGAUAUUCGCAGGAACACCAGUGGCGAAGGCGGCUUACUGGUCCAUUAC